UCCAAUGUGGUGUAGUGGCUAACAUUGCUGUCUUUCAUACCGAAGGCAGGACGUGUAUAUCACAGCAGCCCGGGGUUCGAUUCCCCGCUUUGGAA